rnacentral:rRNA from 1 species
CCUACGGGUGGCAGCAGUGGGGAAUAUUGCACAAUGGGGGAAACCCUGAUGCAGCGACGCCGCGUGAGUGAAGGAGUAUUUCGGUAUGUAAAGCUCUGUCAGCAGGGAAGAAAAUGACCGUACCUGGUUAAGAAGCCCCGGCCAACUACGUUCCAGCAGCCGCGGUAAUACGUAGGGGGCAAGCGUUAACCGGAUUUACUGGGUGGAAAGGGAGGGUAGACGGCAGAACAAGUCUGGAGGGAAAGGCCGGGGCUUAACCCCGGAACUGCUUUGGAAACUGUGCAGCUAGAGUGCAGGAGAGGUAAGUGGAAUUCCUAGUGUAGCGGUGAAAUGCGUAGAUAUUAGGAGGAACACCAGUGGCGAAGGCGGCUUACUGGACUGUAACUGACGUUGAGGCUCGAAAGCGUGGGGAGCAAACAGGAUUAGAUACCCUUGUAGUC